rnacentral:lncRNA from 1 species
UCUUUUUUUUUUCUACUGAGGAAAUGGCAUAGCAGGAACCAAUCUAGUACUCAUGCAGAACAGCAUCUAUUUUUAGUAAAGCAGUUUUCACUAGAUAUAAUUUGGGCAUUCUGAAUAGAAUAUGUGAACCAUUGCAAAUUUAACUCCUCUGUUUUAGGAAAUAAAGCCCAUACUCUAUGUGACUAAGGUGAUUUUCUAAUUUUAGGAUAUGAUCUUGGUUUUGAUCUGUUGUUGCAAAUUCACAAAUUAUGAGAGAUUCCUGUAUAAUCGAACAAAUGUGAUAUUCAGGCAUGUAUGCUAUACAGCAAGAAUGGAUAUAGAUAAACCAAGUGACCCAAGUUAACCUAACGUGGUUUUGUUAUGAUAGUCUGGUCCCAAAUAUUCAUGCACGAAGGAGGCAUCCCAGCAAAAGCAAAGAUAUUUACGUUUUGCAUUGUGUGAGUGUUCUAUGUGUUCCACAUUUGUUUCUUCCAACCCUAAGUAUAGUGCAAAAGAAGUGAUUUGUAUUUGUCCAUUGUGAGUUCAGCCUAUUAACUUAUCUAUUUAUUUGCCUGUAUACAUAGAUUUUUUCAUACGAAGCCUGUGAAAGUAGUAUCUAAGCAACAGCCUGAACAUUUCUGCUUUGUCCUGAGAAGUCUAUUCAACAUUUAGAAAGGAGCAUAAAUGUAGGCAAGUUGUAAUGGCAAUGGAGAGUUUAACCACUACAUUAUCUUACCUUGGCUUGUGCUAAGCAGCUGUAAGAAGUGUGUUAUUUAACUGGUUACCAUCUCCUGCUUGAAACAGCACUCUCAUUAUUGUUACCAGUAAUGAAACUACCUGAGAGGUGCUAACCUACAGAAAUAUUAAGAAGAAGAUGAUGCUAGAAGGAAAAUCACACAGGAAAAAAAAAAAUCAAUGCUAUACUCUAUUAUAGUCUCUGCAUCUGGUUGCAGGCAUAUAUGGGAUUUAGCAGGAUUUACUUUCCAGAUAUUCAAAGCAAGCUAAUAAGUUUGGAGAGCUUAUGAUGUUACUUGAAUUAUUUUAUAUAUUUUUUUUCCAAGGACCUGCUGUGUUUUUUCACUUUUAGGCCAGUAUGUUUCUUGGAAGGCUUCUGUAAGAAUUCCUGUUCAUUCAUCCCCCUUCCCCACCAAAACCUAAGGCAGUGUGGUCCUCAAUACCCUGGCAGAUUUGGUUCUCUCAGCUAUAAGGGUUAUGUAUGAAGCAUGAGCUCUUUUGGUUGGCCAUAUAUUGUGAGAAAGUUGCGUAACAGACCCAUCUUGAAUUUUAACCAACUGUGAUAAAAAAUACAUGGAUAAGUUUUUGAAAGAUGUCAUGAGAAGAACUACUAAUGCUGAUGUAUGAAACUGAGUCUUCUGUUCUAGGAUUCAGUUGCCACUAUUUUUGAAGGGAAUUAAACCUUCACAAUCUCCAUCGGGCAA